GCGAAACUAUCGUCGCUAACCUGCUCUUCAUCGUCCUCAUCAUCUUCAUCACAACAUUGAGAGAAUUCAGUUUCCACACUCGAACAUUCAAAGUCAUCCAGACUACUGUCGGCACUAAAACUACGGCCUCUUUUAGCCCGAGAACCCGAAGUUAAUACGCUACCAGAGCGUUUAGAAGGACCUGGCUCGUCAGUCAUUUUACUAGAAAAAGGUCUAUUUUUCAAACGACUGUAUUUUACAAACUAAUCGUGUGAACCCCGAUCCAACGCUUGAUUUUAAAAGACCGUUACUUUACGCGUGUGGCCACGUGCGUCACGUACGGUUAUCGCAACGGCCGGAACGAUACUGAUGCAUAGAAAAAUGAUACAUAGAAAAAUGAUGCAUAGAAAAAACACAGUCGCAAGCCACGGCGCCGUGUGACCGGCUUCCCGCCCCUCCACGGCGCCGUGUACUCGGCCAUAUACAUCUCCACGGCACCGUGUAGUUGGCAUUAAAUUUGUUAAAAAUACUUGCCUUGCGGCGAGCCCCAAUUUCUCGGAUCUCAGCGGUUCUAUUGAACACAGGUGGCGAUGCGCCGCAAUUACUACAGGACAAAGAAAAAACACGGCAAAACAGAAAUAACAAAAAGAAACGAAACAAAUAAAAACUUCCAGGAAAAACACUUGGUCCGCAGAUGUACCACGAACACAGGCCGCGCGAACAAUGGCCGGGCUAACAAAAGCCGGGCGAACAAAGGCCGAGCGAUCGAAUGGUCGAUGAGCACGUCCGCACGUGACGGGUGCUUCUAUCGGAAUGACGCCAUCUCGUGGUACAAUUUUCAAUUAAAGUUCCACGUGAUCCAUGAGGGAUAACGGGUAAAAUUUGCCGAAAAUCACCACAUAAAAGUAUCGUUUUUCCUGGUUUACGUUUAUCAUUUUCAUCACAUAGAUCCAACAAUAAUCUGGCUAUGAUUUUCAAAACUUGCAAUGGGCACGUAGAAACUUCACCAAUAAUUAUCAACGAUGAUGAAUGUAUGUCCUUGGACCAUAGCUACUAUUUGCAGUAAUAUUUACUACAGAAUUUUCUAAAAUGGAUGUGGCGUUCUCUACACAGCGGCAGACAUGCAAAUAUCGUAUGGUGUAAUGCGCACAAACAAACCUUGUGCCUUCUUAUACAAUACAACUGUUAAGCUGUUGGUGGAGUGUUUUAUUUCGGGAUAUAUUGUGGAACAAGCCGGGACAACUCCGUUUGUAACCGUACUUGUCGAACUCGACAAAGAGGUCGGCGUGCAACCCAUGCAUCAGCCCGCUGAGUUUCUCGCCGGAUCUUUUCAGCGGGUCGCGAUUCCGAUCCGGUAGUAGAUUCAUUCGCGGAGCAAUUGCUCUUGAGUUGUUAGGUCUCCUUGGAGGCGCUCGGGCAGUUGUUAGCAAAUCCCACCCCUCCUGGCUGAGCCUUUGCUCGCCCACCUGUCCUGGUGAAACUGGAAAGGCCUUCGGGCUACCAGUGAUCUUUCAAUCAUAAAAAAAAAAGAAAAAAAAAAGAAGUUUUUUGGGCGCGAAAACGUGAAAAAAUUAAGGCGCACUGAAUUUUAAAAUUUGUUUUAAAUAUUUUUAACAUAGUAAUUUAGUGUAUUGUUUUGUAAAAUAAUUUCAUAGUAUAUGGUGGAUAAGUUUGUAUAAAUAAUUCGUUAUGAGGAGAAGCGGGAAAAGGAAAAAAAAGAGGAAGGAAGAUGAGAGCGAAACGGACGAAGGGGAAGAAAAUUGUUUCUUUUCCAAUACUUCGGACUCAGAAAAGAGCGUAUGUAUCUUUCUCAAUGUAUUUGCAAACACGGCGUCUCAGGUGUUUUACAUUUGAGAACAAUCAAUAAAUUUAAAGUUGGUAUUACUUUUGACCUGGCCAAUAACGCAAAUGUUUUUUUGCAAAAUAAGAAGCUAUUAGACGAGCUUCGGUUAAAAGCAAGCAUACCGGCCUCCGAUACUGAAAUUACUGGAGUGUUAACUUCAGUACCAGUAGGAUUAUCAAAUAAAAAAAUUUCAACUUCAAUAGGUAGCUCUCGAAAUAUUAUUCGGGUUCGUAGGUUUAUGCGUAGGGUCAAGAAUGACAACGGGUUAGUCACAUUUCAACCAACACAGACAGUGGCAGUGACAUUUGCUUUUACACAACUCCCACAGUACGUAUAAUUGGAUUCUUGGCGACAUGAGGUAUCUCAGUAUAUUCCCCAAAUAAAACUAUGUCUAAGAUGUUUGAAGUAUGGUCACAUAGCUAAAUACUGUAAAAUGCACAAGUGUGCUCAAUAUGCACGAAAAAUCAUAACUUUAAAUCAUGCACAGUGGAAACAAUCAAUGCCAAAUGCGUAAACUGUGGUGGGAACCACGUUGCCAUCUCAUCUCAAUGUCCUAUUAAAAAGAAGAAAGUAGAAGAAAAUAAAAUAAAGUCUAAAACUGUUACUUAUGCAAAUAUAUUUGACGAAAAAUCUUUUCCACAACUUACGAACAGACAUAGUGUCCGAAAUCUUUAUGAUUUUUUUUUUUUUUUUUUUUUUUUAUUGCUUAGAUGGGUGGACGAGCUCACAGCCCACCUGGUGUUAAGUGGUUACUGGAGCCCAUAGACAUCUACAACGUAAAUGCGCCACCCACCUUGAGAUAUAAGUUCUAAGGUCUCAGUAUAGUUACAACGGCUACCCCACCCUUCGAACCGAAACGCAUUACUGCUUCACGGCGGAAAUAGGCGGGGUGGUGGUACCUACCCGUGCGGACUCCCAAGAGGUCCUACCACCAGUGAUUACGCAAAUUAUAAUUUUGCGGGUUUAAUUUUUAUUACACGAUGUUAUUCCUUCACCGUGGAAGUCAAUCGUGAACAUUUGUUGAGUACGUAUUUCAUUAGAAAAAUUGGUACCCGCCUGCGGGAUUCGAACACCGGUGCAUCGCUACACACGAAUGCACCGGACGUCUUAUCCUUUAGGCCACGACGACUCAAAUGAAUCUUCUAACAAUCAAUUCUUAAAGUAAUUCAUGAUCAAAAAAAUUAUAUACCAAUUAACACUGGUUCCAUACGUAACAUCCUGCUUGAAACUUUCAGUCAAAAUAUCUUAUUUCCUUCUUAAUGGAUCAUUUGAAUAUACAAUGGAACUCACAAAGUAUUCUUUGCAAUAGAUUAUACGAGCAAGAUUAUUCAUUUAGCAAUUAUAUGUGAAACUUGGCUUCGUCCAGAAACCGUUUUCAAAAUUAAAGGUUUUAACGUUGUUAGACAUGAUUCAGGCAAUAAGCACAAUGGAGUGGCCAUUUUAAUCAAAGAUACUAUUCAGUACAAGCAUUUGCCAACUUUUUCAGACAAUGGUCUCCAAAAUAUAUGUGUGACAUUUUUUUUUUACUAACAAAGAAUUAAGUUUAAUUAGUUGUUACUGUCCUACUUACAGUUAUCCCAGAUUCGAUAAAACUAAAUUUGAUAAUCUUAUAAAAUCUAUUCCACAUCCUUUUAUUUUGGCCGGUGAUUUCAAUGCUCACAAUACAUCUUGGGGUUGUAAUUCAACAUCACGUCGUGGUAGAGAGAUUUUAGACGUCAUCAAUGAUAAUUGUCUAGUUCUGUUGAAUGAUGGGCAGGUUACUACUGUUGCAUCUUCAUCAUGGCGUCCAAAUGCAUUAAGACCUUACAAUAGUUUCUCCAGAACUUGCCAUGUCUUGUGAAUGGUCUGUAUAUAACGAUCCUCUCGGCAGCUAUCAUCUUCGAGUAAUAAUUAAAUUCCAUUUAACAACUGCAACUGAUAUCCACAACACACUUCAUACAACUCUUCCUGUUUGUCCAAAUUACAAAUGUGUCGACUGGAAUUCUUAUAAAAAUAGUAUAGAUGUUGGUCUUCAAAAAAUAAAUUUCAGCCAAUAUUCAUCUUUAGAAAGUUACCAUAUAUUCUGUAAAUUAUUGGUUGAUUCAGCUCAGGCUUGUAGUGGCGUUUCUCGUAGUAGUAAAAAAUAUAUCAUCUCGUAAAGGUCGUAUUCCACGACCUAGACUGCCGUGGUGGAAUUUCAAAUGCUUUGAUGCUGUUGUAAAAUCUAAAGAGGCAAAUGUGAAAUUUAAAAAUUGUCCAUCACAAGAAAAUUACAUAAACUUUAAAAAACAACAAGUUUUUAAAAAACUUACAUUAAAAAUAGAAAAACAUAACAGUUGGGUCCGUCUUUGUGAAUCAUUCAAUCGCUCAACACCAUUGACUUUGAUCUGGAAACAUAUGAGGAAAUUUUGUAAAAUUUAUAAUUCAAAAGGAGAGCAAGAUGGUUGGGUUUUGGAGUUUCUUGAAAAAUACAGUUCUGUUUAUCAAAAUCAGCUACAAAUUGAAAAUGUUUUGUCAAUUAAUAACAACAGUUUUUAUGUGAUUCUUUUACUUUCCAAGAGUUGAAAUCUGCAGUCGCUUCUCGUAAAGAUACAGCAUUCGGUUUUGAUGGUAUUCCAUACAUUUUGUUUAAAAACCUCAGUGAUUCUGAGAAAAAUAUUGUUGAUUCUGAAUGAAUUGUGGUUAAAUAUUGAAAUCCCAACAGACUGGAAAAUUUACAUUUUAGUAUUAAAACCUCAAAAACCUAAAUACAAUGCUAAUUCUUAUCGCCCAAUAACUCGCACUUCAUGCGUGGGUAAACUUUUUGAACAGUUGUUAAAACAAAGAUUGGAAUUUUUUGUUGAAAAAUAUAAUUUAAUAUCUGACAAUCAGUAUGGUUUUCGUAAAGGUAAAUCUGCACAUGAAAGCUUCUGUCAAUUGCCUUUAGAUAUUUGUAAUAGUGUUGUAAAUAGAGAUUGUCUUGUUGCUGUAUAUUUUGAUAUUUCUGGAGCAUUACCAGUUUUGAUAUUGAUGUCCUCUUCAAAGAACUGUGUGGUUUAGGUGUACCUGUAAAAAUUGUAAACUGGGUUCAUAAUUUCUUACUAAAUAGAAAGGUUUAUGCUAAAUAUAAUGGUAAAAUUUAUGGUCCUAUGUCUUCUUCAACAGGUGUUUGUCAAGGAGGAAUAUUGUCACCCCUGUUAUUUCUUUUGUAUAUACACAGAUUAAAUGAAAUAUUAGGCACUAAUACAAAAAACUUACAGUUUGCAGAUGAUUUAGUAAUAUAGGCUAGUGGGAAAAAUAUCCAGCAAGUGAUUGCUGAUAUAAAUUUAACUCUAACAAAGUUACAUGAAUAUUUUAGUUACUUAAAGCUUGAAGUUAAUGCGGCCAAAUCAAAAGUUUUGGUUUUUGGUAAACAUUCUUCUAUUCCUCCUGUAGUAUACAACAACUUACCAUUGGUUCUGUCAUUAGAGGCUAAGUUUCUUGGUGUUUUAUUCACCACUUCAUUAUCCUGGAAUGAAUAUGUAGAAUUAAUUAUUGCAAGAGCCAAUAGAUCUUUGAAUAUAUUAAAGAGUUUGUCAAAAAUCAGUUGGGGGGCAGACCCUAAAAUACUGCUGAUGUUGUACAAAUCAUUGGUCAGAAGUCAUUUUGAAUAUGGUCUGUUUUGGUUCAGUCCAUAAACUUGUUGAUAAACUUGAUAAAAUACAAAACAAUGCUUUACGCUUAAUUACUGGUGCAUUUAAAACCACACCUAUUAAUGCAAUGCAAUUAGAGUGUAAUUUACCACCAAUCAAAAUCAGAUUAGAGCACCUAAAGGAAGAUUCAUUUUAAAAAUAUUUACAAAUAAAAACAAUACAUUACUUAUUUAUUUGUCAUCUGCUUCUUCAACUUUCUUCAAUAAAUAAUGUCCAUUUGUUCUUGAAAAUAUAUCUGGGUUUCUUCAAUUUCUCCAUGAUGCGAAAUUCAGCGAAAUGAAUCCCAUUUUCCUUGUUAUCAAGGUGAAUUUGAAAGUAAAUACCCUGAUAUAAAUAUAGUAAUAGAUUCUGAAUUACAUAGAAAAGAACAAGUAUAUGAAAAAUUUUAUUCUUGGCGAGAUCAUAGAUUCAUUUAUACAGAUGGGGCUAAAAAUGAUAUAUGCACAUCUUUUGCUGUUUGUGAUAGUGUCCUGAAAGAUGGACUUGGAUAUAAACUUGAUAACAACUUGAGCAUAUAUUCUGCUGAAGCUAUUGCAGUUCUGUCUGCAUUGCAACAUAUAUAUAUAAGCAUAAAAAUACUUUUUUAAAGUGGGUUAUUGCCACUGAUUGUAUGAGCCUAUUAAAAAGUCUAGAACACAAUGUAAAUAAAACAAAUGUAAAUUAUUUAGUGUAUAGUAUAAAACAACUUUUGUAUUAUUUGAAUGUAGUUUGUCAUGUAAAUAUUGUACUAGUUUGGGUUCCAUCCCACAUUGGCAUAUUGGGCAAUGAAAAAGCUGACCAUUUAGCAACCAUGAUAACAAAUUAUAGUGCGGGUUCUGUCCCAUAUUUUGAAGUUGGAAUUCCUUUCACAGAUAUUCAUAGUUGUCUUAAAAAUGGAAUGUGUGAUAACUGGAAGAAACAUUGGGAUCAUUCUACUCAAGUCUUAUCUAAGGGUACUUGGUAGUCUUUUGAAUUCCGAAGUAAAUAAAAGACCUUGGUUUUGUAAAGGAGAAUAUGUAAAUAGAAAGUUUUAUUCUAUUUUAUGUCGUUUGAGGUUUGGUCAUUGUCGUCUGAAUUACCAUCUAUAUCGUAUGAGAAUGAUUCUCAGUGACUUGUGUGAUCGUUGUGGAAAUGCUGAACAACAAUCUAUAAACCAUAUUCGAUUUUCUUGCCCAUCCUUUAACAUUUAGCGCCUUGUGUUAAUGGAUGAGUUACAGGACGUUUAUGGAUCUUCAAAUUUGGUACCGCGCUGCAUACAAGAUCUAUUGAAGAAUGAGUCUACAUACCAGUAUAUUUGUAAUUUUUUUGUUAAUACUGGAAUAGAAUUAUAAUUUACUUUGGUGAUCUGAAUUUUUUUAAAUUCAAUUUGACAUAUGUCAGUAGAUUUUCAAAAAAAGAUUACGGGACUUGACGUACCAACUAAGAAUAAUAAUGACUGAAAACACUCCCGGAUUAUGAAUAAUGAAAAUGUAGAAAAUGAAAUAAUAUACGGAAGACAAUACAUUGUUACUUAAAAACCUAAGACUAAUUUUACGAAAGACGAGGCUGUAAGGACUCAGUCCAUUGCCUGCUUGCAAGAGCAAAAUAUUAAAAAAAAAACAACCCCGUUUCCCUGCUACACGGACCACCACAAUGGGCGUAGGCAAUUUAAACACAUUUACCAUUCACUUUUGAAGAUGAAAUCAUAUUUCGUUGAAAAAGUGGCUCACCAUCAACUGUAUUAAAUAUUAUUGCUACAUCAGUUUGAGCUGCAUCAUUGAAACGCCGGAGAUCUAAAUCAUGAUUUACGUUAAUGAGCAUACAAAUUUCUUUAUUUUGAUUUUCAACUUUUUGACAAUGAUUUUUGUUGAUCGAACAAAAGGAUUACGCCGUUCUAAUUGGAGAUAAAAUUCAGGCAUUAUGUUGUUAGGUACAUGUUUGAUUAAAAUGUUCUUGUAAUCUACAAUUGAUAGCAGUGAUCAGAUCAUAAAAAUAUAAUUUGCACAUAACACAGUGAGCGACCAUAUGUAGCAGUCAUUGGACCCGAUCUGUGGUAAAAAAACCAUCAUAUAUUGUAUUGGAGACGUAGGUUCCCAGCUCAGUAGUUGUGUUUCAGCCAGUUAUCUUCGCGACACACACACACUAGGUAUGGACAAACCAAUCGAUCCCUGGUCGGGGAUGGAUACGGAGCUUGGUCAGCAAGGUGUCCUAGAGGUCCCCGAUGUACGUCUAGGAUUCAAAAAUGAGUAAAUGCACAUACGCACCUGGGUCUGCCAUACGGAGCUCCUGGACGCGUGCACUGUUCUAGAUUCACUAGGCCUUUUGUUAAUUUAUUAUAAUUGAACUUCACCCGCGGUCGUCGAAUUCGGUUAUGUUUUAAAUAUUAUAGAUUUGGUUGCGUGUUGCUCGGCUCCCAUUCGUAAUUGAUGUGUUGUGCAUGCGAUGUAGCUUCGCUGUCAUUUGAUGGAUUCGAACGUGGAGAUCGAUUGGCGUUGUAAAAUGUCACAUUUAAAAUAUACCGCAAAGACGGCACAUAUAUUUUAAAUUAAUACGCUCCAAUUGUAACUAGUUGCCUCGGAAACUUUAGCUUCUGAGCUAACCAUUACAAACUAUGUGUUGAGUGCCCUGUAGUCGCCGCACGGUCGCCAGCCGUCGACCUUCUUACGAGCGAGGUGAAGAGGUGAGGACCACGAACUUUCGAAUCUUCGAGCGGUGCCGUUCUGUAGCAUUUGUUCGGAUUCCUUUUUAGCAAUUUGGAGUCUCUCUGGGUCAAGACGUCGCAGACGGCUAGUUACUGGCGGACCCGGGGUUAUGUAUGCUUAGGAUCAACGUGUUUACCAGCUGGACGAGUAAUAUCAGGAUACUGGCGUAAUAGGUCGUGGUAUCUCGUACCUUCGUGGCUCAGUACUGUGUGAACGGAUUGUAGUUCGUCGAUCCGUCCCUGGUGUGGUGCUGUGACAAAAAGUGAUGUGAGUCCGUCGAGUAGCCUUUUGUUUCUGCAAUCGACUAGCAGGUUAUAAAAGCUGAGAAAGUCUACUCCAAUAAUCGGCUUUUAUACAUCAACUAUGACGAAACGCCAUCGGAAGUCUCUUCGAAGACCUAGGUCCAAGUGUAAGUUAACGUACCCGUAAGCAGCAAUUGUUGUGCCAUUCGCUGCGUAUAAUUCGUAUUUUGUUUUGGCUUGUACAAGAAUUCGUAUUGCUGUACGUGGGUAAACGCAUAAGUCCGACCCUGUAUCGACCAGGUACUGCACCUUACUUUUUCGCUCUACGACGAAGAUUCGGCCUGGUGACGCGGGACAACCGGUAGAGGCCACUAGCGGUUUCCCUCGGAGUUUUCCGAGGCGUAGCUGCACGGUUGUCUACACUUCUUUGCCUUAUCUCUAAACUCAAAGUGGUACCAGCAGUGUGGAUGGUCAUCUGGUCGUUGCCGUGUUUGAGUUCUGGAUCUGGAGCGUAUGUGGCGCGAGUUUGACCUGGAACGGAUGUCGCGUCUUCCAUGUUGUCUGCCACGGCGGCUCUAUAUAUUUACUUGCCUCGACAGCGCUUCUAUGCGUAGCUCUAAUGUAGAACUGGGUGUACUUGUCGAAGUAGUCCUUGAUCCGGCGCUGGCUAUUACGGGUGUUGUCGGUUGCACUAUGUCCACGAUGCAGUCGGCAAGCUCGGCUGCGCCUUCGAGGUCCAGCUUUGGUUGUGAUGCUACAACAGUCUGUAUGUUUACAGGUAACCGACUGGUCCACACCGUCCGCAGAAAGUCGCUUGGAAUAUCCGGUCCGGCCAAGUACUGCAGAUGCUGCAGAAAUUGGCUCGGUUUUCUGUCUCCCAGCUCCUCGUGUUGCAGCAACUGUAGCGGUUUUUUUUUCUCUGGACACGGUUAUUCGACGGAUUAGCUGCUCUUUAAACGUUUUGUAUUUAUCCGUAAGCGGUGGUGCAGUUAGGAUGUCUUUCAUCACCCUUGCGUACUCCUGGUUGAGCUGUGAUGAUACCGUGUGGUACAUGGUACUGUCGCUAAUAAUGCCAGCGAGGGCAAAUUGGCCUUCGACCUGCGCAAACCACACCUCCGGAUCUUCAGGGCAGAAGGGCGGCACUCGAACAGACACUCGGCUCACCUCUGAGUUCGGCCCUGUGCUAUCUCCGCUACCGCCGGCCGGUCCGCCGGUAUCUUCACUAGUUGACGCGCUGCUCUUAUCCUUUUUCGAAGCCAUGAUGCACUCGUGAUCACGUCGGGGUCACCAAUUGUAGCGGGUUUAUAUUUAGGUAUCAACCCACUAACUGUCGAUACGUUUGUAGCGACUUAGCUGAGACAGUCUGUGUCGAGUCGUCGCACAAUAAACAGGUUGCAAACUGUCGUGUCUUAUUAAUAAUUAUCACCCUGCAUAAUAUCUCACACGCUCAUAUAAGCACAGACUCAAUGUAGCAAACCUACAUUAAUGUCAUUCAUUCUAAAUCAUUCACUAGGUCUUAAACCAGUCAUAAUUUUCAGUCACAAAAUUCGUUUCCAUCGCUGUGCCUGUAAAAACCUUUGUACUUUCUAUAAAUACCAAUAAACACCCAGUAAUAGUGAUAAAGUGUUUAUAUUUCACAAGAACCACAAAACCUACAGUCCACUCAGUUAGUUCAACAUCAAACAUGGUCCUUACGAGCCGUAAAUAAGUGAAAUACAAGGAGUGCAACACGUGGUUUUCAACAUUCGUGCCACGAGUCAUCACACUACUCGCACGAAUUGGUACAGCAGCGAUUCUGCCGCUUCGAAGCUGCUUCUGGUGGAUCAUACUUGGGCCAAUCGAGCAUUCAUUUGUUGGACCAACAACCUCAAUCAGCAUCAAGAAAGAAGCAAAGCGGUCGGCCAUUUUGUCUUGUUCGACAAUACAUACAUUUUAGGUGUAAACAAGACAAAGUGCACCUGUGCAUCGAAGUAUCAAUAUACAUCGAUCAAGCAUACCAACAUCAAGAAGUGCAUCUCGUCAAGUUGGCUUCGUUCGUCUUUCGUCGCGCUAGAGGUAAUUCGGAGGCCGCCGGGAGUGACCGAAAAGAAAAAGGAAGGCGACGACAACACCAACUUCACAUCAAACGAGUAACAUUUGCACCAAUUUUUUUUCUAUAUUUAUUCGUUCUAUGAACGAACAAAACGGAACAACUCUGCUCACUAUUUCCGUUUCGAUUCGUUUUCGUUGUCAAAAACGUGACACGAACAACGCUAAAUUCGCCAUUUUGUGUUCUUGUUAAUUCUUGUCGAGUCAAUCGUUCAUCUUUGCAUAGAAAUUGUGUUAUUUUAUUUAAUUUUAACAACAUUGUUUGGAAUCUGGCUUCAUCAUGGAAAAAAGUGAUACUGAAGACGAUAAUCUUAUCACGACGAAAGAAAGAAGAGCAUAUAAGCAGCAAGCAUUAACAAAGUUAUUGACGAAAAUCUCAGCCACCGACUUCGCUGCAGCUUCCAAAGCUUCUUUAGCAGUCUUGGAGUCAAGACUUAUUUCGAUCUAUGCUGAAUUUGAAACCCUUUGUCAAGAAGCGUUCGCAUUGGGAGAUAAGUCAACGAGCAAAGCUGAUGAAUUUGAAGAAAGGUAUAUCAAUGCUCUAACGCUACUGAAAGAGAACUUAAGCCACUCAUCAAGCCAUAAUCAAUCCGAACAAAAAAUUAAAUUACCAGUGAUUCAAAUUCCACUAUUCAAUGGUAAGUCAAGUGAUUAUAAAACUUUUAUAGGAUUGUUCGAAUCUUUAAUAGAUAAAGACAGGUCAUUAUAUGACAUAAAAAAAUUAUAUUAUCUCCGUAAUUUUGUGACUAACGACCCUUAUGAUCUCAUCAAAAACUUGCCAUUGGUUGGUGAAAGUUACCAUGAAUCACUCAAAAUUGGCUGCCCCGCUAAACUAACCACGGAUCAAGGCAGACAAUUUGAAAGUAAUGUUUUUAAGGAACUAAUGAAGUGUCUAGGUAUUGUCAAGACACGCACUACUCCCUAUCACCCGCAAUGCAACGGGUUAGUGGAAAGAUGGUACCGUUCACUCAAGGCAGCGUACAUGGCCCGACUAGAUUCUAAGGCGUGGGUUGAAGAAUUACCUAUUGUUUUGCUAGGACUUCGUGCAGCACCGCGGACCGACUCAGGCGUCAGUGCCGCCGAAAUGACCUACAGGCAAACAUUGCGUUUAGCGGGAGAUUUUUAUAAUGAUAGUAUUAUACCUAUAUUAGAUCAUUGUCAAUACGUAAAGCAUUUGCGCGCUAUGAUAUAUAAUUUGAAACCUAAACCGCUACCGCGUAAGGAUGCUCAUACAGUGUUUGUACAUAGCGAUUUGAAUAACUGUACUCAGGUUUUUGUUCGUUCAGAUAUAGUUAAAAAAUCGUUAGAACCUCCCUAUGAAGGACCUUAUAAAGUCCUAAAUAGAACAGAUAAAGUAUUUUUAGUGCAAUUUCCUAACCGAGAUGCGUAUAUAUCAGUAGACAGGUUGAAACCCGCUUAUAUGUAUACGGCAGAGGCAGAAAAUAAUUUGGUUAUUAAAAAUAACUUAUCAACGGAUAGACUUAAAAUAAGUGACCACAACAAGGAACCUAUCGGAACCUCCGAGAAUAGCGAUCAAAAUCGCUCAGCUAAUUACCGUGUUACACGUAGUGGUCGUAUUGUGAAACCACCGGUACGUUUCGCUGAUUAACGGAGGGUUCCAAUAUCCAAAAAACGAAUCGUUUUAUAUUACGAUCCGGUACAAUAUCUACGAAUCGUAGGACAAAAUAGUUCCUAUAAAAACGACUCGUUUUUUAAAUUACUGAUGAUUUGCUACUAACGGAUGGGAGGGCUAACAUAACGGUUCGUACUGCGUUUUGUAUGGAGACUGUUGUCUGUAGUGUUCCUGUAUUAUUUUAGAAAUGUCAGUGAGCUGUCAAAACUACCACGCGUAGAGCAUUUUAUAACCUACCGAUUUUGUUCGGUUGUGCUUUGGAAUUUUUGUGUUUGUGUUUUUUCUUUUAAAGUGUCGAGUUCAGAAAGUGAUAACGAAGUUUUAAUGUUACUGAAUUCAAGCGACGAUUCAAGUGAUGAUACGCGAAGUAAUAGAGUGUAUUAAACAAGAAUCAAUUAUUAUUCAGAGCUCGAUAAUCAGGAGUUUCAACUAAGAUUUCGGCUCGACAAGCAGUCUGUGCAAUUACUGUUAGGUGAAAUUUAUCCUUUUUUAAAGGCAAAAGGAACCAGGUUCGUAUUUUUAAUGCCAGCUGUUAAUUGGUAUUUUAUGAAGUAGUUAACUAUUUAACACGUGAUUACAUGAAAAUAGUAUUUACUAGUUUAUUUUAAUUCUAGGAAUCAUGGAAUAUCUCCCUUACAUCAACUGCUAUUAACUUUAAGUUUCUAUGCCUUAGGAACUAUGCUACUAUCAGUAGCAGACUUUAUAGGUGUUUCGAAAGCAUCAGCAUGUCGUACUGUUCGCGACGUCAGUAAUGCUAUAGCACAGCUAUAUAGCAAGUACAUCUACAUGCAUUCCGAUACCGAACAAGACUUUUAUGCUGUUUCAAGAUUCCCAGGUGUCCUUGGUGCACUUGAUGGUACACACAUUAGGAUUCAGUCACCAUGUUCUCAGAUUGGAGAAGAAUUUAGAAACCGAAAAGGUUACUUUUCCCUUAAUGUCCAAGCUAUGUGCAAUGCAGAUUUAUUAUUUAUGAAUGUGGUGGCUCGUUGGCCAGGUUCAGCUCAUGAUGCCACAAUAUUUAAUAAUUCAGACUUGCGAGCUCACCGUGAAAAUGGCUCAUUUGGAAAUAAGUGGUUACUUGGAGAUAGUGCUUAUCCCUUGAAGCCAUAUUUAUUAACGCCACUAAUUAACACACAGACACGGGGCCAACAGCUUUAUAAUGAAGCCCAUAUUCGAACAAGAAACUGCAUUGAAAGAUGUUUUGGUGUUGAAACGAAGAUUCCCUGUUGUAGCCUUAAAAUUGCGCCUGAGCCUUCUAAGAGCCAAUGCAGUGAUUAUAGCUACAGCUGUACUCCACAACAUUUGUCGACUGAAGAAGCUUGAUGAUAUAUCACCAGAAGUAGAAAUUCCUGAGGCAGGCCUACAGAAAGUAGCACUGAGGAAACUUUUAGUACAGAAAGAGCUAAUUUGAUUGCAGAAUAUUUCCAUAAUUUAUGAGGAUUGAACUCUUCAGAACAGUAUCUACAAUUAAGUUUGCUUACAAGUUGUAUGGUCUGAAAUUACUAAAUAUGUUUAAGUACCUACACAUAAGAUUUAACUGAUUUGCUUAAAGUUAGGAAGGACAUGCAUUAUAGGCUGUUACUGCAUUUUUUGCUUGGUAUUGUACAGUUUAAACAAUAACGAAAUAGACGUUAGUUAUAGUCUUCCUGUUGUAGUCAUCCUUCUGAUCCUAAUGUAAUGUCAGGGAGAUUGAUGUUAACCUAUCAUAAAGGUCUGACCAUGAUGUGUGUGUGCAAGAUGUAAAAAUUAUUUCCGACCCUUAGGUAGGUUUAUAAUAAUUAUCAGUUAUUAAUAGUAGGUUAUAUUGUAUAUUGAUAUACCUAAAGGAAAUUUUGAUUAAAGGGAAAUGUGAAGGUUUUAUGUCGUGUGAUUUAAUCCUGGUAUGCACAUUCAUUGCUCUACCCCUAAAAUAUAAAUCGCCACAAUACCACCAUAUUUUUAUGUAACAGUAAUAAAUACUUUCUUCUGGUUUAUAGGGCAAAAUGGCAGGUCUUUUGAUAAGCGCUGAUGCUUUUGAGUAAAUAGGCGAUAGUUACUACUAUGCACCUAAUGUGCCAUGAUAUGCUGAUCUGUCUAUAAUUAUAACUAGUAUUUUAAAACAAACUAGGUAGGUAUUUAAAAUUAGUAAAUAAAAUAAAAUAAAUUGAAAAUACAAUUUUUAUCUUUUUUAAAUACAAAUACAAUUUUAUAAAAUACAAAAAGAAAAUACAAUUUUUAUCUUUGCCUUAUUUUAACAAUUUAAAAAAAAAAUUGUCAUAAACUUAUCCUAAUUCCUAAUAACAUGGCACUAAAGGGUAAAAAAACUAGUUAAUAUAAAAAAUGGAUAUGGUUAAUAUUAAAAUAAGGCUAAAAAAUUAAAUUUAGAAUUUCAGUUGCUAGUUCUAAGUACUUUUUAAGCACUAUUGUUAUCUUUGUCUGAAAUUUCUUUCUUUAACAGCUGAAUUUCUAAAUCUAAUUUUUCAGCCUUCUCAUAAUAUUUGGCCAUAGCAAGAUUUAGUUCAAGGCGCCCAUCAUCUCUUGCGUCUUUUUUCUUCCUUGCUGGAAUUGAAAAAGUAAUUUAGAUAAGAACACAUGAAGAGAAAUGUUGAAUUGUCUCAGUACUGCAAUAAGUAUUUAUUAUUAUUAUAAUUUUUACUUAAUAUAUAGGUACCUUUGGUUUGCAAGCAUUUAGACAUGCUCUGCAUUCCGAAAAAUUUUUUUGGUGUAAAUGAUCUUUGGUCUUCUAAUUGCACCUCACAUGGUGCUUUGUUUUAUUGUCUGAAAAUAUAUUAUUCAUAAAAAGAAUUAAUAUAUUAUAUAAAUAAAGCAUCAAAAAUCCAUAUUAAUAAUUAAUUAAUGUUACCUCUUUUUGGACUUGGACACAGAACCACAUUCCCUUCAGUUUCGGGUUCACAAUGAUCCGACUGGUUCUGAAGUUCAAGCCCACCGACUUCCAAUUCCAGCACCAUACCAACGCCUAAUCCGUCACCACCAAAAGGGACAUCGAACCCAGUGCAGGUCGACCCCAAAAGAGAUGUUACUUUUUCUAACAAUUCAUCUGGUGGGAUGAAGUCAGGUUUUCCACCACCAGUCUGUAUAAAAUAAAAAUUAUACAUAUUAUUUAUUGUAAUUUCUGCAUUAUAAUGUAUAUUAAAUUAAGGCAUAAAACCUGUACUUCGAAAAAUAAUAAUGAUUACCUUUAGACUAUUCAUUCGUACUUUUUGUGCUCUCUUUCGGGCCAUCUUUUUCAAAUUGUCCCAUUUUAAUUUGAGCUGUUCCUUCUGCUUGGGGAAGGAGCCACACUUGGCAUUGUAGGCAGCCGUAAGGGCCACCCAUGCUUCUUUUUGAGUCUGUUGGUAGUGGCGUUGGUUUCCUUGCUCGUAAUUAUAGGACUGCCUUCUAUUAUCUCUAUGAGACAUGCAACUUCAUCCUUUCCAUCCAAGAAAUUGGUAGGUUCUUUUUUACACGAUUAGAAAACAUUUAAUCCACAAUAUUUGAACACGGAUAACUUACCGGAAACACUUCCAUUUUUAGCAGUUUUAUGUAAGUUUAAGCUAAAAAUUAUUUAACAAUAUUAUAAACUAGAUAGUGGACACUAAAAUAAGGUACGUUAGUGAUAAUUUAUCAGUUUGUAAUGAAAUAAACGAACAACAAAGUACGACGCUAACACAAUUUUUUUGGUAUUUUGGCGCGGUCCGGCCGACAUCUGGCGUUUCCUUUGUCUCUUCAUGGCGUUUUGUUCACAUUACAGUUAAAACUAAAGUAACUGUUUUUAAAUUGUGAAUGUUCAAAUAAAAUUACACAUGUGAUGAAUUACAAUUAAUUUAUAUUAUUUUAAAAUAUUUAUGUAAAAAUACUAAUAAAAACUUAUGUAUUUUGAAAA